GAUGAUUUUACAAUAUUUUCCCAUUUGGAUCUAGUACAGCAUGUCUUAAGAUCCUGCCUCUUACUCUGCAAAUUGGUGCCUCGGUAUAAAUGCGAAGAUGGGUUUUGAGAGGAAAUUGAUGGCAGAGUUCGCCUAAGCCAAGAUUCAGAAGGAGUUUUUGGUUGAAGUGGGGGAAGAAGAUUCUGUACUAAACUGGUUUUUGCAUUUUCUGAAUCAAUGUUUGAAAUCUGAUCGCUUUCAAUAUCUUGAUUUCCUUCAAAGUGAGUUCUUAUACAUACUAAGGCCUGAGAUAAGUCCUCAAUCCUUUCUGCUUCGCCUUUGUGAGGUAAAUUGUCUGAGAGAAAAGAUAAAUCAGCAGCACCACACUGCAAGCCCUUAUGUUCCA
rnacentral:misc_RNA from 1 species